GCUACAGGCUUAACACAUGCAAGUCGAGGGGCAGCAUGGUCUUAGCUUGCUAAGGCCGAUGGCGACCGGCGCACGGGUGAGUAACACGUAUCCAACCUGCCGUCUACUCUUGGACAGCCUUCUGAAAGGAAGAUUAAUACAAGAUGGCAUCAUGAGUCCACAUGUUCACAUGAUUAAAGGUAUUCCGGUAGACGAUGGGGAUGCGUUCCAUUAGAUAGUAGGCGGGGUAACGGCCCACCUAGUCUUCGAUGGAUAGGGGUUCUGAGAGGAAGGUCCCCCACAUUGGAACUGAGACACGGUCCAAACUCCUACGGGAGGCGGCAGUGAGGAAUAUUGGUCAAUGGGCGAGAGCCUGAACCAGCCAAGUAGCGUGAAGGAUGACUGCCCUAUGGGUUGUAAACUUCUUUUAUAAAGGAAUAAAGUCGGGUAUGCAUACCCGUUUGCAUGUACUUUAUGAAUAAGGAUCGGCUAACUCCGUGCCAGCAGCCGCGGUAAUACGGAGGAUCCGAGCGUUAUCCGGAUUUAUUGGGUUUAAAGGGAGCGUAGAUGGAUGUUUAAGUCAGUUGUGAAAGUUUGCGGCUCAACCGUAAAAUUGCAGUUGAUACUGGAUAUCUUGAGUGCAGUUGAGGCAGGCGGAAUUCGUGGUGUAGCGGUGAAAUGCUUAGAUAUCACGAAGAACUCCGAUUGCGAAGGCAGCCUGCUAAGCUGCAACUGACAUUGAGGCUCGAAAGUGUGGGUAUCAAACAGGAUUAGAUACCCUGGUAGUCCACACGGUAAACGAUGAAUACUCGCUGUUUGCGAUAUACGGCAAGCGGCCAAGCGAAAGCGUUAAGUAUUCCACCUGGGGAGUACGCCGGCAACGGUGAAACUCAAAGGAAUUGACGGGGGCCCGCACAAGCGGAGGAACAUGUGGUUUAAUUCGAUGAUACGCGAGGAACCUUACCCGGGCUUAAAUUGCAGAUGAAUUACGGUGAAAGCCGUAAGCCGCAAGGCAUCUGUGAAGGUGCUGCAUGGUUGUCGUCAGCUCGUGCCGUGAGGUGUCGGCUUAAGUGCCAUAACGAGCGCAACCCUUGUUGUCAGUUACUAACAGGUUCCGCUGAGGACUCUGACAAGACUGCCAUCGUAAGAUGUGAGGAAGGUGGGGAUGACGUCAAAUCAGCACGGCCCUUACGUCCGGGGCUACACACGUGUUACAAUGGGGGGUACAGAGGGCCGCUACCACGCGAGUGGAUGCCAAUCCCCAAAACCUCUCUCAGUUCGGACUGGAGUCUGCAACCCGACUCCGCGAAGCUGGAUUCGCUAGUAAUCGCGCAUCAGCCACGGCGCGGUGAAUACGUUCCCGGGCCUUGUACACACCGCCCGUCAAGCCAUGGGAGCCGGGGGUACCUGAAGUGCGUAACCGCGAGGAGCGCCCUAGGGUAAAACUGGUGACUGGGGCUAAGUCG
rnacentral:rRNA from 1 species